UACGUAGGGUGCAAGCGUUGUCCGGAAUUAUUGGGCGUAAAGAGCUCGUAGGCGGUUUGUCGCGUCGAAUGUGAAAACCCGGGGCUCAACCCCGGGCCUGCAUUCGAUACGGGCAGACUAGAGUUCGGUAGGGGAGUCUGGAAUUCCUGGUGUAGCGGUGAAAUGCGCAGAGAUCGGGAGGAACACCCGUAGCGAAGGCGGCACUCUGGGCCGGUACUGACGCUCAGGAGCGAAAGCGUGGGGAGCGAACAGG
rnacentral:rRNA from 1 species